rnacentral:rRNA from 1 species
ACGGGAGGCAGCAGUGGGGAAUAUUGGACAAUGGGGGAAACCCUGAUCCAGCGACGCCGCGUGAGUGAAGAAGUAUUUCGGUAUGUAAAGCUCUAUCAGCAGGGAAGAUGAUGACGGUACCUGACUAAGAAGCCCCGGCUAACUACGUGCCAGCAGCCGCGGUAAUACGUAGGGGGCAAGCGUUAUCCGGAUUUACUGGGUGUAAAGGGAGUGUAGGCGGCGAUGCAAGUCAGAUGUGAAAGCCCGGGGCUCAACCCCGGGACUGCAUUUGAAACUGUAUUGCUAGAGUACUGGAGGGGUAAGCGGAAUUCCUAGUGUAGCGGUGAAAUGCGUAGAUAUUAGGAGGAACACCAGUGGCGAAGGCGGCUUACUGGACGAUAACUGACGCUGAGGCUCGAAAGCGUGGGGAGCAAACAGGAUUAGAUACCCUGGUA